AACUAUGGCCAUACCACCCUGAACAUGCCAGAUGGCAUCUGAUCUCAGAAGCUAAGAAGGGUCGGGCCUGAUUAAUACUUGGAUGGGAGACCACCUGGGAAUACCUGGUGCUAUAGGCU
ensembl:rRNA 5S_rRNA 5S ribosomal RNA